rnacentral:misc_RNA from 1 species
UCUCCGUAGGUGAACCUGCGGAGGGAUCAUUACAGAGUUCUCGCCCUCGCGGGUAGAUCUCCCACCCACUGCUAUCGUUACUGUGUUGCUUUGGCGGGCCGCCGGGCCCCGCUCGGCCGCCGGCUCCGGCUGGCGCGCGCCCGCCAGAGGCCCAGCAAACUCUGAAUGUUGGUGUCGUCUGAGUACUAUAUAAUAGUUAAAACUUUCAACAACGGAUCUCUUGGUUCUG